GGGUCUGUGAGGGUCUGAGUGCCCAGUAAUCUCAGGGUCUGGGAAGGUCUGAGUGCCCAGUAAUCUCAGGGUCUGAGAAGGUCUGAGUGCCCACUAAUCUCAGGGUCUGAGAGGGUCUGAGUGCCCAGUAAUCUCAGGGUCUGGGAGGGUCUGAGUGCCCAAUAAUCUCAAGGUCUGGGAGGGUCUGAGUGCCCAAUAAUCUCAGGGUCUGGGAGGAUAUGAGUGCCCAGUAAUCCCAGGGACAGGGAGGGUCUG